rnacentral:rRNA from 1 species
UACGUAGGUGGCAAGCGUUGUCCGGAAUUACUGGGCGUAAAGAGCGCGUAGGCGGGGAUUUAAGUCAGGAGUGAAAACUAGCGGCUCAACCGGUAGCCUGCUCUUGAAACUGAAUUUCUUGAGGGUAUGAGAGGAAAGCGGAAUUCCCAGUGUAGCGGUGAAAUGCGUAGAUAUUGGGAGGAACACCAGUGGCGAAGGCGGCUUUCUGGCAUACAACUGACGCUGAGGCGCGAAAGCGUGGGUAGCAAAC